rnacentral:tRNA from 1 species
GCCCCGGUAGGCAAACUGGCAAAGCCGCCGCACUCAGACUGCGGAGAUUCUGCGGGUUCGACUCCCGCCCCGGGUA